CGUUCUUCCUCACCAUCUGUCGACCACCGAAUCGCCGGCAAAACCUCUCAACAUAACCGCUCAACACCCUUCUUCUCCACUUCGACCGUCGAAAUACUCCUCCGAUUCACCUAACAUCUUCCAUCACUUUAACAAGCGUAAUCUCACUGUUGAGUUUAAUUUACUAACCUGAUCGGGAUACCGCAAGGAUGUGAUUCAAUUAGAUGUCGCGAUGUACACGUUUCAGUUAUGAUUUGUUCCUCUUUGGAUCGCCGCUUCGGUUACGUAUCAGUGCUAGCAUCGGUGAGGUCGCCGAAAUAUCAUUGUUUUCCUUUGAUAAAAUGUUGAUGUUGCUGCUCCGAAUGAGUCUGAGUUGUCGUCUACGGCACUAGUUGUUUUUUUGGAUCAGUGAUGACAUAUCCAUUGUUACGGUACAAAUCAAUUUAAAUUUGUGGCAUAACGUUGAAUCUUUCAUUUUCAUAACAGUACUGGAUAUAUUUGGGAUAGGUUGUGUUUGGGGUAAUUUUUCGGUUCCAUCUUAGAUAUGUAUUCAUUUUGCUUUGAACUCUGCAUUGCUUAUGUUAGUUAUCCUUUUGUAGCAGGAUGUACCAGUAAUUUUCUUUUCUUUUCUUGAAGUGGCUUUACUUGGCUUUUAUUUUUCGGUUGCAAUUACUAUUCAUUUUCAAUUCAAAUUAUUCAGUGAUUGGUAUUAUGUUUGUA